UUCAAUCAAAGUAACAUAUAGGCCUCAUCCAAAAUUUUAAACUUCGUUUGAUAAACAUACAUACCGAAUACUUAUGUUUAGAUACAUAUACAUAUGAAUCAACCAUAUAAGGAUGUUGUGCCACAAAAGGAAAAUAACUUAUGUUUCUAAAUGUGCCACAACCAAAAUGAUCAUACAGUGGCUUAUGUGCCAAAACAAUCACCUAAAUGAGUACAGUAAUACUUGCCACCAUCUCCAGGUUCAACAAACAAGUCAUAUUACAUUAUAACAACAGCAACUUAAUUGUAGGUCUUCCAAACCUCCAGCUCCAACUUGUAGAUCUUCCAAACCUCGAUCAACUUGUGUAUCUUUGGGAAAUCUGCAACAAGUCGGAAACUCAAGCUACAUAGGCAUUAAUAAUUUCCACGAGAUAAUGAACAUUUCGAGACCUUAUCAUCUCAUUAUAUCUUCUAACACUCUGUUCUUCUUCUUCCAUCACCCACACUGCCGUUGCAUCUUCUAAUCUAUUGUCCAUGUCACUUUCUCCUGCCUUUUGUCAUUCUUUUUUCCGAAGAUAUGCACCCUCACACAAAAGCCUGAUUAAGAAAAUUGCACAAGAAUACCACUCAUACUUAUCUUAACAAAGAUAAACAGAAGUAUGGAAAGCACACAAAAAUAUGAGACGAUGGCUGCAGGUCAGAUAUAAUUCAGACUUGCUGUUGACAUCACUCCAAGAAAUAUUUGAACAAGCUAAAUGGCGUAAAUGCAUUAACAAAUUCUGUCUCUUCCUUUUACUGAUAAUUUUAAUAAAAAACUAAAUAUUUGCACUCAGUUCAAUUGCAUGACAUCCCACUCCAUUUUCUCAAU
rnacentral:lncRNA from 1 species